rnacentral:rRNA from 1 species
CCUACGGGGGGCAGCAGUGGGGGAUCUUGGACAAUGGGCGAAAGCCUGAUCCAGCGACGCCGCGUGGGGGACGAAGGCCUUCGGGUUGUAAACCCCUGUUGUUGGGAAAGAAGCCGGCUCUGCCGGUGACGGUACCCAACGAGGAAGCCCCGGCUAACUACGUGCCAGCAGCCGCGGUAAGACGUAGGGGGCGAGCGUUAUCCGGAUUCACUGGGCGUAAAGGGCGCGCAGGCGGUUACGUAAGUCCGGCGUGAAAUCCCACGGCUCAACUGUGGAACUGCGUCGGAUACUGCGUUGACUUGAGGAUGGUAGAGGCCAUUAGAACUAGCGGUGUAGCGGUGAAAUGCGCAGAUAUCGCUAGGAAUGCCGGUGGCGAAGGCGGAUGGCUGGGCCACUCCUGACGCUGAGGCGCGAAAGCUAGGGGAGCGAACCGGAUUAG